rnacentral:rRNA from 1 species
UACAGAGGUCCCAAGCGUUAGGCGGAAUCACUGGGCUUAAAGCGUGUGUAGGCGGAUCGUUAAGUGCCUUGUGAAAUCCCACGGCUUAACUGUGGAACGGCUGGGCAUACUGGCGGUCUUGAGCCAUCUAGGGGCGACUGGAACAAACGGUGGAGCGGUGAAAUGCGUAGAUAUCGUUUGGAACGCCAAUGGUGAAAACAGGUCGCUGGGGAUGCGCUGACGCUGAGACACGAAAGCCAGGGGAGCAAACGGG